GGAUGGGUUUGUUUCCAUUCGUCAUCCACGUUCAAUAGUCGCAGAGCUCUCCUGAACUGCACCAUGCCAUUGCAAGUGCCUUCGGAAAGCAGAGCCAGAGGCUUGUUUCUCUCCGAAUUGCAGGUCUGGUAACAAUUUCGGCAGGUUUGAUUCAGAGGUGUUCUUACAUUCGUGGGUUUUCGAGGCGAUUGUGUGUCGGUUUCCGCUGCUGAUCAUGGCGACCAUCCAAUCGAUCAAGGCGCGCUCCAUUUUUGGCAGAGGGGUUACCACCCCACUCUGGAGGCGGAUAUUCACUUACCCGAUGAAUCGUGGUAUAGGGCGGCAGUACCCAGCGGCGUUUAUGAAGCCUUGGAGUUGAGAGACGGAGGCAAGGAUUAUAUGGGAAAGGGGGUUCAGAAGGCAUUUAUUUUUCUCUGCCCUUCCAAUGAAAAAAGAAAGAAAGAAAAAGACCUUUAAUCACUGGCCCAAUUACAAGAAUGCUCAGUCAUAGACGAUCUGAUUGGUACAAAUCCUUGUCUUAAUCUGAAUUUGUGGAGGGAUGUGGAUUUUUAAACUGGUUCACGAUUGUGUCAAUAGGCUGUGAACAAUGUUAACAACGUCAUCGGCCCCGCUCUUGUCGGAAAGGACCCCUUAGAUCAAACCGCAAUCGACAACUUUAUGGUUCAUGAACUCGACGGAGCAAAGAAUGAGUGGGGAUGGUGCAAGAAAAAGGUUUCAAUAUGAUACGUUGCUAAUGAUACUUGUGCCAAAUUGGGCGUGAUCCACAACAUCCCUGAGUUCAGAAAUGAGGGAUGAACUCAGCAGCAGUUGACUAUCAUGACUGGCUGGCGAUCAAAGAGAGACCUCAUCAUUUGAUGAACAUUUUGUUCUUUUUUAUGCAGUUGGUUGCCCAUGCUAUUUUGGCAGUUUCACUUGCUGUGUGCAAGGCCGGUGCUGAAGAUUCCUCUUUACCUGGUUACCUUCCUUCGCACUCAAUAGCUCAUACGUUUGGGAUACGCCGUUCAGCAGAAGGCAUGUAACGCUCUUCUAUUAAAGGUAAACCAGAUUUUAUCAGUAACCGAGAGUAAUGAAGCUGUGGUCGUGGCAAAGAAAGCCGGAUGGGGUGUGAUGACAAGCCAUCGAAGUGGAGCGACGGAGGACUUCAUUGCAGACCUUGCCGUUGGUCUUUCAACUGUACGUCAGCAUUUUUUUUUACUUUCUUAGUUAUGUUGUGUUUUGUUUUGUUUUACUUUAUUUUAUUUCUUGGACAAAAAUUCCGGAAUUUUUUCGUAGUUGAUGCUUUGACCUUAAAUUAAUAUCGUGGAUUGCCUCUGCUGUGAAGAGUGUGGUAGUGGCGUUCGCUUGAUGAUGCAGGGCCAGAUUAAGACUGGAGCUCCUUGCCGCUCUGAGAGAUUGUCCAAGUACAACCAGCUUCUAAGAAUUGAGGAGGAGCUUGGCAGCAAAGCCUUGUAUGCCUGUCACAACGUCCGCAAACCUGCGGAGCCAUACUAGAGUCUGGACAGUUCUUUGCCACUUGCCACAAUUUAGUUGCAUAAAGACGUAUGUUUGGCUAUAAAACUGCAUGCUGUUGAUACAUAGAUGCCUCAUGUUUCUUACUGUGGAAGAGUUGACCACUUUAAGAAUGAUUACAAAUUGUAAUGUAUUGUGUUAGUAAAACUUAUUAUUCUAUGUAACAUGUUAAGAUUGCAUAAUACACAUCAAUGUAAUUUUGUUAAA